rnacentral:lncRNA from 1 species
GACUGGCAUGCUCGCCCAGGUUAUGCGCGCGCUGAGACGUGCUAUCAAGUGUGGACCGGCUGUUGGAGGAUUUUGUUGUCGGUACCCACGCCGAAGGCCUGCCGGUGGGAAGGGGACAGGAGAACGCGAUGGCCAUGCUGAAUGACGCUUUGCAUAGAUGGAUUAUGUAUGUUUGACGGCAAGUACGCACCAUGUCCGCGGUCUCCAUGACGCAGUAACCGAUGACGAUGCCAGCAACAAUGCCCAGGACAACCUGCGCGGCAGAGGCAUCGAGUAGCUCUGCAGCGGCAGUUGCGAGCAAGCGGAGUGAAGCAACUCCUUGGCGCACCAUGAGAAUCUUCUCCAGGAUAGAAACGCCCAAUGACUGGGAUGCUUUGCCCAUUGUCCGAUCAACGCUUAAUGCGGUUGUAAUUUAAGUCGACGACUCAGUUGUGCGGCUGUUAUCUUACAAUGGCGCCUGCCAGAUGAUGUAGGUAAGAUGCGAGAUGAUCUAAGUUUUAAUUGUGCCAAGCUUCAAAAC